UACGUAGGGGGCGAGCGUUGUCCGGAUUUAUUGGGCGUAAAGAGCGUGUAGGCGGCCAGGUAGGUCUGCUGUGAAAACUCGAGGCUCAACCUCGAGACGUCGGCGGAAACCAUCUGGCUAGAGUCCGGAAGAGGAGAGUGGAAUUCCUGGUGUAGCGGUGAAAUGCGUAGAUAUCUGGAGGAACACCGGUGGCGAAGGCGGCAUCCUGGACCAACACUGACGCUGAGGAGCGAAAGCCAGGGGAGCAAACGGG
rnacentral:rRNA from 1 species